CUCAGGGCUGGCACACCCCGUCCUGGCUGGAUGGUCACUGUAGCCCAGCAAGGGUGGGGCGCUGGUACAGGACGAACUGUGCUGUGCUGGUGAACGGGGGGAACCGUGCGUAGAGCAGGCGCAGGAUAACCUGGGCCAUAGAGACGCACUGGAGACCAGAUACGCUGAGCCGGCGCACUUCUUCCUGGCUGACGGCCAACUCUAGCACGGCAACGGUGAGGAGCUGGUACCGAGCGCACCGGGCUGUGAGUACACACUGGCGACACAGUGCGCAUCACCGCAUUACACGGUGCUUGCUCGGUCACUCACUCCCCACGGUAAGCACGGGGAGUUGGCUCAGGUCUCAACCCCGAUUUCGCCAAUCUCCCCGUGUGCCCACCCCCAAAAAAAUGUUUUUGGCGCUGCCUCUUGGGCUUCCGUGGUUUCCUUGCCUGUUCCUCCCAGUAUUGCCGUUCCACUUUCGCCGCCUCUAUCUCCUCCUGCGGGCGGCAAUACUCCCCAAGCCUUGUCCAGGGUCCUGCCCCAUCCAGGAUUUCCUCCCAGGUCCAGUCCAUCGGCCCACACUGCUUGGUCCUUUGGUGGUGGGAUCUUCUGUCACGAUCGUCAAAAGGAGUGGACCAAAGCGCAGCGUGAUUUGACCAUCGUCAGAUCAGAGCAGGGUCUGCCAUGAUGAGGGCCUACAACAGUGGCACCCGGGCAGUCCCCUAUGAGUCUCUGAUGGUGGCUGAUAUUGGGGACGUCAACGUGUAUGAGGCCUACCGUACAAUCCUGGCCACGGGCUUUAUCCAUCUUGCUAUUGACACGCCCAUGUGGGUCUCAUCCAUGUGGAUGCCCAAGAUUGGCCCGGGACCCCCUUCAGACGUUGUGAGGAGAAGGGCCUGCUGGACUGCAAGAGGGUUGUCCAGAUAGAGCUGUGUGGAACACGCUACUCAGCUGAAGCCUACGAGUGGAGCCGAGGACAGGUACACACUUCAUUGUGUGUGUCUUCCUCACCUAGGGCGACACAAACAUUAACAAUAGUUAAAAAUACAGAUCCUUCGAAACUAUUCACACCCCUUGACCUCUUCCACAUUUUCCUGUGUUACAGCCUG
rnacentral:lncRNA from 1 species